CGCGCCGCUCCCCGCCCACGCACCGCUCCUGACAGGAAAUGGCGGGAAGAGGGCGGGGGGGAAGAAGAAGAAGAAGGAGGAGGUGGCGGUGGUUCUGCUCCCGCUCCCCGGUACCGGAGCAACGCGGUGUUGUGAGAAAAAUCAGCUCAAACGAGCCCGCCGGUGGUAGCUCUGCCACGCCCGCGCAGCUGCUGAUAGGCGAGCGGCCGCGGGAGGGCUGUCCCUCGUUUCCUCAGAUGGAAAGUUUACUCACCACAUGCCUUUUGUGUUGCACGAUUCAACUUCUGAUGUGUGAAGAAGGGGAGACCAGGCUGAACCACCAGC